ACGUUAGCGGCGGACGGGUGAGUAACACGUGGGUAACCUACCUAUAAGACUGGGAUAACUUCGGGAAACCGGAGCUAAUACCGGAUAAUAUUUCGAACCGCAUGGUUCGAUAGUGAAAGAUGGUUUUGCUAUCACUUAUAGAUGGACCCGCGCCGUAUUAGCUAGUUGGUAAGGUAACGGCUUACCAAGGCGACGAUACGUAGCCGACCUGAGAGGGUGAUCGGCCACACUGGAACUGAGACACGGUCCAGACUCCUACGGGAGGCAGCAGUC
rnacentral:rRNA from 1 species